ACCCCCAACAGCCCAACUCUAGUCCUCCAGUACCCCCAACAGCCCAACUCUAGUCCUCCAAUACCCCCAACAGCCCAACUCUAGUCCUCCAGUACCCCCAACAGCCCAACUCUAGUCCUCCAAUACCCCCAACAACCCAACUCUAGUCCUCCAGUACCCCCAACUCUAGUCCUCCAGUACCCCCAACAGCCCAACUCCAGUCCUCCAGUACCCCCAACAGCCCAACUCCAGUACCCCGAACAGCCCAACUCCAGUCCUCCAGUAUCCCCACUCAUUUUUUGUUGUUGGCCCAGAUGACAAAUUCCUCUGAUUCAACUAAUUGAGGAUGAAGUUGAAUCAGGUGUGCUUGUUUGGGGCCUACAACAACAAUGUGUUCUGUUGUAGGACUGGAGGUGGGAAACACUGCUAUAUGGGGUGGAAAAACUACUCAAAUCUCAUUCUGUAGUAAAAGUGAGGAUAUUCUAAUAGAAAAUUACCACUUGAGUAAAAGUAUUUGGUUUUAAAUGUACUUAAGUAUCAAAAGUAAAUGUAGUUGCUAAAAUAUACUUAAGUAUCAAAAGUAUGAAUAAUUAAAAAUUCCUUAUAUUAAGAAAACCAGAUGGCACAAUUUUCUUGUUUUUUUAUUUUUGCUGUGCAAGGGUCACAUUCCAACACUCAGACAUGAUUUAAAAACAACGCAGUUGUGUUUAGUGAGUCCUCCAGAUCAGAGGCAGUAGGGAUGACCAGGGAUGUUCUCUGUUUAGUGAGUCCACCAGAUCAGAGACAGCAGGGAUGACCAGGGAUGUUCUCUUGAUAAGUAUGUGAAUUGGACCAUUUUCUGUCCUGCUAAGCAUUCAAAAUGUACUUUUGGGUGUCAGGGAAAAUUUAUGGAGUAAAAAGUACAUCAUUUUCAUUAGGAGUGUAUGGAGUAAAAAGUCAAAUAUAUAAAUGAUAAAAGUACAGAUAACCCCCCCCUCCAAAAAUGCCUUAAGUACUUUACACCACUGAUGGGUGCUUGGUCCCAGGUAGGGAGGAUGUUUUAUAACCCCACGACAGUAUGACACAGGGAAACUAACUGGCAGUAAUAUUUGCUGCCUUUGAACAUUUUGAAAUGUGUACAUUUAGCUACAUCAAAUGUUGCCCACCUUCCCCAAGUACAACAGAGCUUUACUAUGGUUCUGACUAGGUGGAAUACAGACUUUCUCGUAGCAGGUUAGGAGAAUGAGGUUACGGUUAUGAAAAGGGUUAGCUAAAAUGCUCUCCUAGCCUUCUAUGAAAAGUCACUUCCUGGUUGUGGCUGUACUCCAUCUUGUCCCAAGGUUUUCCCAAACUCUUUUGUUGUUGUUGCCAUAGAUCUACACAGCUGAUUCAAAUAAUCAACGAAUCAUCAAGCUUUGAUCAUUUGAAUCAACUGUGUCGUGUUAGGGGGCAAAAAACUCAAAUGUGCACACCUUGGGGUCCCGAGGACCUUGGGAAACGCUGAUCUAGUCACAACUCUGUAUCAUUGUCUUGACUCACUGUGUGAAUUCCUUCCCUAGUUGGUGAUGCACUGUGACAUGUGUAAAAAAAAAUAUAUUAAAAAAUUGCUGUAUAUGAAUGAGUAUAAAAUAAAGUGAAAUGUUCUAA
ensembl:lncRNA